rnacentral:rRNA from 1 species
UACGUAGGGUGCAAGCGUUGUCCGGAAUUAUUGGGCGUAAAGAGCUCGUAGGCGGUUUGUUGCGUCGGCUGUGAAAUCCCGAGGCUCAACCUCGGGUCUGCAGUCGAUACGAGCAAACUAGAGUGUUGCAGGGGAGACUGGAAUUCUUGGUGUAGCGGUGAAAUGCGCAGAUAUCAGGAGGAACACCGGUGGCGAAGGCGGGUCUCUGG